CCUACGGGUGGCAGCAGUGAGGAAUAUUGGUCAAUGGACGCAAGUCUGAACCAGCCAUGCCGCGUGCAGGAAGACGGCUCUAUGAGUUGUAAACUGCUUUUGUACGGGGGUAAACGCAGGUAAGCGUACCUGUCUGCACGUACUGUAUGCAUAAGGAUCGGCUAACUCCGUGCCAGCAGCCGCGGUAAUACGGAGGAUACAAGCGUUAUCCGGAUUUAUUGGGUUUAAAGGGUGCGUAGGCGGUCGGAUAAGUUAGAGGUGAAAGCCCGAGGCUCAACUUCGGAAUUGCCUCUGAUACUGUACGGCUAGAGAGUAGUUGCGGUAGGCGGAAUGUAUGGUGUAGCGGGGAAAUGCUUAGAGAUCAUACAGAACACCGAUUGCGAAGGCAGCUUACCAAGCUACUUCUGACGUUGAGGCACGAAAGCGUGGGGAGCAAACAGGAUUAGAUACCCUAGUAGUC
rnacentral:rRNA from 1 species